rnacentral:rRNA from 1 species
UACGAAGGGAGCUAGCGUUGUUCGGAAUCACUGGGCGUAAAGCGCACGUAGGCGGAUUUGUCAGUCAGGGGUGAAAUCCCGGGGCUCAACCUCGGAACUGCCUUUGAUACAGCAAGUCUUGAGUUCGAGAGAGGUGGGUGGAAUUCCUAGUGUAGAGGUGAAAUGCGUAGAUAUCGGAAGGAACAUCAGUGGCGAAAGCGACUUCCUGGACCAGUACCGACGUUCAGGCACGAAAGCGUGGGGAGCAAACAGG